rnacentral:rRNA from 1 species
GGGACACGUGGUAUCCUGUCUGAAUAUGGGGGGACCAUCCUCCAAGGCUAAAUACUCCUGACUGACCGAUAGUGAACCAGUACCGUGAGGGAAAGGCGAAAAGAACCCCGGCGAGGGGAGUGAAAAAGAACCUGAAACCGUGUACGUACAAGCAGUGGGAGCACAGAGCAAUCUGUGUGACUGCGUACCUUUUGUAUAAUGGGUCAGCGACUUAUAUUCUGUAGCAAGGUUAACCGAAUAGGGGAGCCGAAGGGAAACCGAGUCUUAACUGGGCGUUAAGUUGCAGGGUAUAGACCCGAAACCCGGUGAUCUAGCCAUGGGCAGGUUGAAGGUUGGGUAACACUAACUGGAGGACCGAACCGACUAAUGUUGAAAAAUUAGCGGAUGACUUGUGGCUGGGGGUGAAAGGCCAAUCAAACCGGGAGAUAGCUGGUUCUCCCCGAAAGCUAUUUAGGUAGCGCCUCGUGAAUUCAUCUCCGGGGGUAGAGCACUGUUUCGGCAAGGGGGUCAUCCCGACUUACCAACCCGAUGCAAACUGCGAAUACCGGAGAAUGUUAUCACGGGAGACACACGGCGGGUGCUAACGUCCGUCGUGAAGAGGGAAACAACCCAGACCGCCAGCUAAGGUCCCAAAGUCAUGGUUAAGUGGGAAACGAUGUGGGAAGGCCCAGACAGCCAGGAUGUUGGCUUAGAAGCAGCCAUCAUUUAAAGAAAGCGUAAUAGCUCACUGGUCGAGUCGGCCUGCGCGGAAGAUGUAACGGGGCUAAACCAUGCACCGAAGCUGCGGCAGCGACGCUGAUGCGUUGUUGGGUAGGGGAGCGUUCUGUAAGCCUGUGAAGGUGUGCUGUGAGGCAUGCUGGAGGUAUCAGAAGUGCGAAUGCUGACAUAAGUAACGAUAAAGCGGGUGAAAAGCCCGCUCGCCGGAAGACCAAGGGUUCCUGUCCAACGUUAAUCGGGGCAGGGUGAGUCGACCCCUAAGGCGAGGCCGAAAGGCGUAGUCGAUGGGAAACAGGUUAAUAUUCCUGUACUUGGUGUUACUGCGAAGGGGGGACGGAGAAGGCUAUGUUGGCCGGGCGACGGUUGUCCCGGUUUAAGCGUGUAGGCUGGUUUUCCAGGCAAAUCCGGAAAAUCAAGGCUGAGGCGUGAUGACGAGGCACUACGGUGCUGAAGCAACAAAUGCCCUGCUUCCAGGAAAAGCCUCUAAGCAUCAGGUAACAUCAAAUCGUACCCCAAACCGACACAGGUGGUCAGGUAGAGAAUACCAAGGCGCUUGAGAGAACUCGGGUGAAGGAACUAGGCAAAAUGGUGCCGUAACUUCGGGAGAAGGCACGCUGAUAUGUAGGUGAAGUCCCUCGCGGAUGGAGCUGAAAUCAGUCGAAGAUACCAGCUGGCUGCAACUGUUUAUUAAAAACACAGCACUGUGCAAACACGAAAGUGGACGUAUACGGUGUGACGCCUGCCCGGUGCCGGAAGGUUAAUUGAUGGGGUCAGCGCAAGCGAAGCUCUUGAUCGAAGCCCCGGUAAACGGCGGCCGUAACUAUAACGGUCCUAAGGUAGCGAAAUUCCUUGUCGGGUAAGUUCCGACCUGCACGAAUGGCGUAAUGAUGGCCAGGCUGUCUCCACCCGAGACUCAGUGAAAUUGAACUCGCUGUGAAGAUGCAGUGUACCCGCGGCAAGACGGAAAGACCCCGUGAACCUUUACUAUAGCUUGACACUGAACAUUGAGCCUUGAUGUGUAGGAUAGGUGGGAGGCUUUGAAGUGUGGACGCCAGUCUGCAUGGAGCCGACCUUGAAAUACCACCCUUUAAUGUUUGAUGUUCUAACGUUGACCCGUGAUCCGGGUUGCGGACAGUGUCUGGUGGGUAGUUUGACUGGGGCGGUCUCCUCCUAAAGAGUAACGGAGGAGCACGAAGGUUGGCUAAUCCUGGUCGGACAUCAGGAGGUUAGUGCAAUGGCAUAAGCCAGCUUGACUGCGAGCGUGACGGCGCGAGCAGGUGCGAAAGCAGGUCAUAGUGAUCCGGUGGUUCUGAAUGGAAGGGCCAUCGCUCAACGGAUAAAAGGUACUCCGGGGAUAACAGGCUGAUACCGCCCAAGAGUUCAUAUCGACGGCGGUGUUUGGCACCUCGAUGUCGGCUCAUCACAUCCUGGGGCUGAAGUAGGUCCCAAGGGUAUGGCUGUUCGCCAUUUAAAGUGGUACGCGAGCUGGGUUUAGAACGUCGUGAGACAGUUCGGUCCCUAUCUGCCGUGGGCGCUGGAGAACUGAGGGGGGCUGCUCCUAGUACGAGAGGACCGGAGUGGACGCAUCACUGGUGUUCGGGUUGUCAUGCCAAUGGCACUGCCCGGUAGCUAAAUGCGGAAGAGAUAAGUGCUGAAAGCAUCUAAGCACGAAACUUGCCCCGAGAUGAGUUCUCCCUGACCCUU